CGCAUCUGUGCAUGCAGCAUAUCAAUAAGCGGAGGAAAAGAAACUAACAAGGAUUCCCCUAGUAACGGCGAGUGAAGCGGGAAGAGCUCAAAUUUGAAUCUUAAAGGGUUUCCCUUUACGAAUUGUAGUUUAAAGAAGUGUUUUCUGUUGAGGUUUUGGUAAAAGUUCUUUGGAAUAGGACAUCAUAGAGGGUGAGAAUCCCGUAUUUGACCUUUACUUUCAACUUUGUGAUACACUUUCAAAGAGUCGGAUUGUUUGGGAAUGCAGUCCAAAAUAGGGUGGUAAAUUUCAUCUAAAGCUAAAUAUUGGCGAGAGACCGAUAGCGAACAAGUACCGUGAGGGAAAGAUGAAAAGAACUUUGAAAAGAGAGUUAAACAGUACGUGAAAUUGUCAAAAGGGAAGCGUUUGACACCAGUGUUGUUUUUCUGAAAAUCAAUUAAAGAACUGUUUAUGCUAAGCUGUUUAGACUUUAUCAGCUAUCUGUUUAGUUUUGAGCUUUUCUUUAAUGCACUUUUCAGUUAACAAGUCAACAUCAAUUUCUUUUGCUGUAAAAAAGCUUGAGGAAGGUGGCUUGAGAUUCGUCUUAAGUGUUUAUAGCCUCUUGCCUAUGCAGUCGGAGAGAUUGAGGUCUGCAGCGUAGAUCCUUCGGGGCUAAAUGCAUUUGUGCUAAGUUAUAGCAUUUUAUAGACAACUUGUUGACUAUGAUUUGUCUUGUAGCUUACUCGCUUAUGUUAUUUUACCUACGCUUAGGAUGUUGAGUCAUCACACAUCUCU
rnacentral:rRNA from 1 species